GUAGCGGCGAGCGAACGGGGAGCAGCCCAGAGCCUGAAUCAGUAUGUGUGUUAGUGGAAGCGUCUGGAAAGGCGCGCGAUACAGGGUGACAGCCCCGUACACAAAAAUGCACAUGCUGUGAGCUCGAUGAGUAGGGCGGGACACGUGGUAUCCUGUCUGAAUAUGGGGGGACCAUCCUCCAAGGCUAAAUACUCCUGACUGACCGAUAGUGAACCAGUACCGUGAGGGAAAGGCGAAAAGAACCCCGGCGAGGGGAGUGAAAAAGAACCUGAAACCGUGUACGUACAAGCAGUGGGAGCACGCUUAGGCGUGUGACUGCGUACCUUUUGUAUAAUGGGUCAGCGACUUAUAUUCUGUAGCAAGGUUAACCGAAUAGGGGAGCCGAAGGGAAACCGAGUCUUAACUGGGCGUUAAGUUGCAGGGUAUAGACCCGAAACCCGGUGAUCUAGCCAUGGGCAGGUUGAAGGUUGGGUAACACUAACUGGAGGACCGAACCGACUAAUGUUGAAAAAUUAGCGGAUGACUUGUGGCUGGGGGUGAAAGGCCAAUCAAACCGGGAGAUAGCUGGUUCUCCCCGAAAGCUAUUUAGGUAGCGCCUCGUGAAUUCAUCUCCGGGGGUAGAGCACUGUUUCGGCAAGGGGGUCAUCCCGACUUACCAACCCGAUGCAAACUGCGAAUACCGGAGAAUGUUAUCACGGGAGACACACGGCGGGUGCUAACGUCCGUCGUGAAGAGGGAAACAACCCAGACCGCCAGCUAAGGUCCCAAAGUCAUGGUUAAGUGGGAAACGAUGUGGGAAGGCCCAGACAGCCAGGAUGUUGGCUUAGAAGCAGCCAUCAUUUAAAGAAAGCGUAAUAGCUCACUGGUCGAGUCGGCCUGCGCGGAAGAUGUAACGGGGCUAAACCAUGCAC
rnacentral:rRNA from 2 species